AUUUACAUAGAGCACUAGGAAAACUGCUCUGUCUUCAGAAAAAGAGGAGACUCCCACUGCAGAAGACCCUGAGGUCUCUCCCAUCUUUUCUCAGUCUCCCCCAGCCUUCCUUCUCAGGGAAUGGAGCCCUGAGCUGUCCACCACACCCAUUGGUUGUUCUGUAAGCCACAUCGAAAGCCCCUCUUGGGAUGGCUCCAUAGAAACACGAGUCUAAGCGUCCUGGGAUGAUCGCAGGCACCAAACAGUUGCUACAGUCUGAGAUGAGUUGCUGUGAUCCAUCUUGGAUAGCUUCUGCUCCAUCGAUGGACAAGGGACCUGGGAAUCUUACUCACUUCUGUAGGAGAAUCUGAUGGAAGGGGUGGGGAAACUGAGGGCUGAAGAGACGAAGAAACUUUCUGUGGUCACACAGGUGGCAAGUGGCAGAGCCAGGAUUUAACAGAUUUCCUUUUCAGUUUCUGGCUUGGUCAGUUGCGUAGAUGAGUAAUGGUAGCGUUUUGAGAGAUGGUACAUGCAGAGGACCAAAGUGACAUUUGCUUUAGCUGGGCUGACCCUUAACCCCUGGGCACUGUCUGAAAAACCACGUUCAAAGGGCAUUGGGCUACUUAGAUCUGGCUCAGUGUCUGAGAGAGAAUUGGGUUGGUGCCCUGGAGGUGAUGGACAAAGCCAUGAGAAGGUGGCUCAGUCAGGACGAUGCUUAGGUGCGGGGGGGGGGGGGGGUUAGUCAUCGUGGCAGCAAAAGGAAGGCUGUCGGCUGAGACAAAGGCAAAUGAAGAAAAGACUCAUGGCUGGGUGAUGGCGGCGCACACCUUUAAUCCCAACACUCAGGAGGCAGAGGCAGGCAGAUCUCUGAGUUUGAGGCCAGCCUGGUCUACAGAGUGAGUUCCAGGACAGCUAGGGCUGUCAC